rnacentral:rRNA from 1 species
CUCUUUGGGACAUUACUGACGCUGAGGUUCGAAAGCUAGGGUCGCGAAACGGAUUAGAUACCCGUGUAGUCCUAGCUGUAAACGCUCUCUGCUAGUUGUUUGUCUUAUUUGAAAUUAUCCUUCGGGAUGAUUCCAAAUGGAUGAGUGACCCAGCUAACGCAUUAAGCAGAGCGCCUGGGGAGUACGAGCGCAAGCUUAAGACUCAAAGGAAUUGACGGGGACCCGCACAAGCGGUGGAGCGCCUGGUUUAAUUCGAUGCUAAGCGAAGAACCUUACCAAGGCUUGAACUGUAGCUGCAAACCCUAUGAAAAUAGGGCUUCCUUCGAGGGUGCUACAGAGGUGCUGCAUGGCUGUCGUCAGCUCGUGUCGUGAGGUGUUGGGUUAAGUCCCGCAACGAGCGCAACCCACGUCCUUAGUUGCCAUCAUUAAGUUGGGCACUCUGGGGAGACUGCCGGGGACAACUCGGAGGAAGGUGUGGAUGACGUCAAGUCAUCAUGCCCCUUACGUUCUGGGCUACACACGUACUACAAUGCUUCGGACAAAGAGCAGCCAACUAGCGAUAGUGAGCUAAUCUCAUAAACCGAGGCACAGUUCAGAUUGCAGGCUGCAACUCGCCUGCAUGAAGGAGGAAUCGCUAGUAAUCGCCGGUCAGCAUACGGCGGUGAAUACGUUCCCGGGCCUUGUACACACCGCCCGUCACACCAUGGGAGUUGGCCACG